CCUACGGGAGGCAGCAGUGGGGAAUAUUGGACAAUGGGGGCAACCCUGAUCCAGCGACGCCGCGUGAGUGAAGAAGUAUUUCGGUAUGUUAAGCUCUAUCAGCAGGGAAGAAAAUGACGGUACCUGUCUAAGAAGCCACGGCUACCUACGUGCCAGCAGCCGCGGUAAUACGUAGGGGGCACGCGUUAUCCGGAUUUACUGGGGGUAAAGGGAGCGUAGACGGUGCAGCAAGUCUGAAGUGAAAGGGCGGGGGCCAACCCCGGGACUGCAUUGGAAACUGGUGAACUGGAGUGCAGGAGAGGUAAGCGGAAUGCCUGGUGUAGCGGUGAAAUGCGUAGAUAUUAGGAGGAACACCGGUGGCGAAGGCGGCUUACUGGACUGUAACUGACGUUGAGGCUCGAAAGCGUGGGGAGCAAACAGGAUUAGAUACCCGGGUAGUC
rnacentral:rRNA from 1 species